rnacentral:rRNA from 1 species
AUACGGAGGAUCCAAGCGUUAUCCGGAUUUAUUGGGUUUAAAGGGUGCGUAGGCGGCCUAUUAAGUCAGGGGUGAAAGACGGUGGCUCAACCAUCGCAGUGCCCUUGAUACUGAUGGGCUUGAUUACACUUGAGGUAGGCGGAAUGUGACAAGUAGCGGUGAAAUGCAUAGAUAUGUCACAGAACACCAAUUGCGAAGGCAGCUUACUAAGGUGUCAAUGACGCUGAGGCACGAAAGCGUGGGGAUCAAACAGGAUUAGAUACCCUGGUAGUCCACGCCCUAAACGAUGAAUACUCGAUGUUAGCGAUAUACAGUUAGCGUCAAAGCGAAAGCGUUAAGUAUUCCACCUGGUGAGUACGCCCGCAAGGGUGAA